GCACAUGGAGGAAGCCCAUCCUUUCCCUCCACCACGUGUCCUGCUGAAGCAGAUGGUGCCGUGUGGCUCCGCCAUGCCACUGCGGUCGCCUUGUAAGAGCUGCUGCCAUAAGGAGGUGGGUUAGAGGGAGAUUUGGGGUGACAGUGUUUGGCAGGGGCUACAAAGUGAAGAUGUAGGGAGGAGAGAAAGAGCUUGGUGCCUUGGGCUGACACCAAGGAGGCCUAAUGAGAUGAGCUAAGGUGAAGAGAUAACAGCCCUGAAGUCUGGCUUCAUACCAAAAGAGGAUCAGCAAGGCAUUGGGAGGCGACUCCCUGCUGUUAAUGCAGUGAGAGAGAAGCAGAGGAGCAGCCAGACGAGCAAAGACAGCCGGCACCUCACACUGGCUUUGGGUUUGUCCUCUGGAUUAUCCUGCGUUCCUUGGUCUGCACGGCUCUGGUCUCCUGCUCACUCCCCAACCUCCGACCUGCACUUAGAACUUUCUGGGCUGUAACCUCAACGUCUCGUUGGCAGCCUACCACCUAAAACCUACCUUAUCCUCUGGGCUUGGACUGAACUAUAAGACCAGGUUAGUUACUCACACAUUCAUCAUCAUCCUCUGCCAUUUAGACAUGGUUACUGACCUGGUCUUCUAGUCCAGUCCGAGUUAGUGACUCACAAGUUCAUUAUCAUAAUUCGCAAUAUUGACACGGUCACUAACCUGUGCUCUCCUGCAGAGGUUCCUGCCUUAGAUGCCAACGCUGUUCUCUUCAGUUUCGUCUUAAAUAAACGAUUUGUUAAAUCUGUCUUUCCACCUCGGAUACUGGGUCCUUUUGUUCUGAGCUUUACAGCAUGGUUUAUUUUGGUUACUCUAUUUUGGUUUUGGUUACAAUGGAUGUUAAGCAGUUUUUUUAAAUGGCUACGUCAUGUGCUUUUACAAGGGACCAACUACUAUGAAACAAACCCUGUACAACUUGAUUGAUUAUGAGAAUUGUUUUCGGCGCAGGUUGUAAACAACAGGUUGUUUGGCCCGAGAGAGGCUGCAGGCAGUUUAAAGCAUGAUUAAGUCCAAAGGCAAGGUGGUGAAGGGACUUGAAUGUCAACAUGAGAACUUUAUACCAGCCUAACAUCACACCACUGCAACAGCUCAGCUGUAGAGGUAUUCAGCAGCACCAAAUCCCUGGGGGUGCACAUGACAGACAACGUCACUUGACUAUAAACACCUCACUGAUCGAAAGGGUACAAAAGCGCUUGUAAUUGCUGCGGAGGAUGAGGAAAGCCCACCUGCCCCCAUUCAUCCUCAUGACCUUCUACAGAAGCAGGAUAGAGAGCAUUCUCACAGUGUGGUGUGAAGGCUGCAACACCUCAGACUGGAAGAUCGUGAGAAGAGUGGUGAAAACAGCAGAGAGGAUCAUCGGUGCUCAACUCCCCUCCGUAAAAGACAUUUCAUCC